rnacentral:rRNA from 1 species
CGGCGGACGGGUGAGUAACGCGUGGGUAACCUACCCUGUACACACGGAUAACAUACCGAAAGGUAUGCUAAUACGGGAUAAUAUAUUUGAGAGGCAUCUCUUGAAUAUCAAAGGUGAGCCAGUACAGGAUGGACCCGCGUCUGAUUAGCUAGUUGGUAAGGUAACGGCUUACCAAGGCGACGAUCAGUAGCCGACCUGAGAGGGUGAUCGGCACAUUGGAACUGAGACACGGUCCAA